UACGUAGGGGGCUAGCGUUGUUCGGAAUUACUGGGCGUAAAGGGCGCGUAGGCGGCCAUCUAAGUCAGACGUGAAAUCCCUCGGCUCAACCGAGGAACUGCGUCUGAUACUGGAAGGCUUGAAUCCGGGAGAGGGAUGUGGAAUUCCAGGUGUAGCGGUGAAAUGCGUAGAUAUCUGGAGGAACACCGGUGGCGAAGGCGGCAUCCUGGACCGGUAUUGACGCUGAGGCGCGAAAGCUAGGGGAGCAAACGGG
rnacentral:rRNA from 1 species